UAAAUCGGUAUGUUGAAAGGUUGAUUUUGAUACUUGAAACGUCAAACAUAAAAAAUCUAUAAAGUUAAACGUAUAUUUGUUAAAGGAAAUUGCAAUUUCAUUGUGCAAGGACCUAUAGAAAACAAGAAAUUUUAAAUCACAACUAAAGCAGCCUAUUUUUGUUUUGUAUUUGAUGGUAACUCAAUAGAAGGAGAUAUCUAUCGAUGAUUGAA